AGCCAGCGGGCGCCGGUUCUGGACCUGUCCGCCAUACUGGUGGAUCUCGCUCUGCUCUGAAGCAUAUGGAUGUGAUGGAAAGGGAGCUUGGCCGGAAACCGAGUGCGACGGAGUUGUACACUCGCCUUCACUCCACGAAGGCUGACAAGAAGCCGGUCGACAAACGGGCUCAGGAUAUGACUGACGCCAUCACUGAGAGGCUUGCUGCUGCGACACAGCCUCAGUCCGGAGAGGGUAGCUCCUCGAGCCCAGCU